rnacentral:lncRNA from 1 species
GUCAUGUGUUGAUGAUUUAGUAGCAAUAAAAUGAUUACGGAUGAAGCUUGAACUACAUCGGAUCAUCAAACAUGACCCGUUACAAAUCGGACACUAAAACCUGUUUUUACAAUAUUUGUUGACCCUUGACGCCAUCGCACCAUCCUGAAGACUUGCAUCCAGCCCCCCUGCAACCUCUGAGCAUCAGAUUUGCAUAGUGGAGGACGGAUUACCCAAUCAGAGCUGUAGCAGUCGUGAUGUGGCUCUCUCACCUUGGUGCCUGUCGUGGAAGCUCAGCUAAUUGUGAAGAAUUCGAUUUGCUCUUGGAGUGUGCCAUGAAGCUCGGCUGUACCCCCACCAACUAAACCUCGCCCGGCCCAGCAAGGGGGCCCUUAAGUGGACGCUCGCCCCCUCCUUCACGGCGUCAUGCUGCACUCCUCUCCCAAUACCCCCUCUGCUGCUCGCUGGGACCUGAUCUCUCACCAUCGGACAGGCCUAAAUGAUGCCAUAGAAGAACCAUUCUGGGUUCCCCAAAGAAGCUUCAGUGAUCCGUUCAUGACAUGGCUCCUUGUACUGCACAUCUGCUCCCACCUGCUCAACACACUCGGCAUAAUUAAGACAGAAGAAGAAGGUGCGAGGCCAUGGCGGAGUGGAGCGGCUCUGCGCCGGACCUGCUGGCUCUGGCCGCGGGCCACGACUCUUCACAGCAGCAUAAUCAGAUUUGGGCCGGUGAGAGACUGAACGAGCCUCUAUGGGCAGCUUGGCUGUUUGCAGAGGGACUGAAGGGCCGUAAUGCCCUAGAUUAAUAGACGGCUAUAAGAUCAGUGCUGGAAUGUCAGGAGAGAUCUGGAUACAGUGCAAAAUGAUGGACACAGCAGGCGAAAAAAGAUGUUUUGUUAUUAAGUAUAUCUGUGGCUGGGAAUUGUGAGUGAUAAAUUAUUUUAUUUCAAAAGAGCAUAUGAGAAAUGUCCCCUUUUAGGACAUUUUAAUCACAUAAAAGGACAAAUGGAUUCAAGGUUUUUGCUACAGGACAUGUUAUUUUGGUAUGACAGUGCAAGUCCUCCAUUAUAAUGCCACAUGUUCCCCACUGAAGGUUCAGGUUUUUGCUGAGAUCUCUCUCUGAUGUGCAGCGACAGCCCUUCAUCUGGACAGAAUUAGCUUGGGCACUUUUCAAGACUGAGAAUGACGGCCAGAAAGACUCAAAAGAAAUAUUUCAUGAGCAAAAGUGUCAACACAGACAUUGUGAAGUUUCAGCCAGGGUGUUGUCUGAGUGCUAGAAUGCUCUACAAUUAAAAUAAAUAGCACUUAGAAACAAACCGGAUUAUAUCAACAGUAGCAUUGCUAUACUAUUAUAGUAUUAUAGUAAUUGUUAUAUUUUGUAAUUAGUAUUUUUGUUUUUUAUUGUUUUUCUUGUUUUCUACUUUUCAUUUCACUUACAAAUUUUAGUAAUUGUGUGUAUUUUUGUCUAGUUUUAUUAGAUGUUUAAAAUGUCUAUAUAUUUAUUUUAGCAAUGUUUGUUUGUUUAUUUAUUUAUUUUAUGUAGUUUUAGUUAUUUUGCUACAAGUUACACUAAACAAAUGAGAAAUGUUGGCUUGGCAACUAACUGAAAUAAAACAUUAUAUAUACCCAUAUAUAUAUGGGUCAAAGAUGUUAAGAUGUCUGCAUCAAAAGAAAUUUACAAAAGUGAUUUUAUGUUUAAUGUAAGUAAAGUGUCUACUUUUAAGGUUUCAAAUAAGUUUUUGGAGAAUAAAAUGUCAAAAUUUGGUUGAAAUAAUGUUACACAAUAUUUAUGUAAAUAUUCAAACAACAUGCUUAUUCUGACUUGUACAUAGGAUAUAUAUGAUAAGAGAGCAUAUUAAAUUUAAUUGUGUUUUAAAAGAGUAAAAAAGUCUUACUGACAAAUGGGCAAAACCUAGGAUAGUGGCAAAUUUUAAAAAUGUCAAAUUACAAAAAAGUAAAUAGUCUUUUUAAUAUAUGGAUAUUAUGAUAAAUGGAUUUUUUUUUGUAAAUAUGCCUGACAAUUCUGUGUCUUCUGUAAAUCAUGGGAAAAUGUAUGAUAAUUAUUUUUUGCUCAGAAAAACAAAAUUGCAAUUAAAUUAAACAGAAAACUUUUACAUAUUUUGAGAAAAACAACAACAAUUUUAAGCAGUAUUACACUUAUUGUUUUUAUGCUUAAACCCUUUUUCGUCUUUGACCCAUUUAACAUUAAUUUUAUUUCAAGUAAUGAAAGGGAUUUUUUUUAUGGUUUUAGU